GGGAUGAAGCUCCGACCCAGGAUGGACAUAGGCUAGAAUCUUCCCGAUCAAGAGCGACAGAUACGUGGCUUUCCUGGUAGGAAGAGGUUGCUUGAGUCAAACACUACCUUCUAGGCAGUUAGACUGGCCAGGGGCCCAAGCUCGUCCUGGGAAGUGAGCCUCUGCCUUUGCUUGAGGCUACCUCAGCAAUUCAACCUUUCACCUACUUAAAGAAAAGUUCACAGACCAGCGAAAUAAUACGUUGGGUUAAGGGGAAGACAAACCAAAAAAAAAAAAAAAAAAAAAAAAAAA